CUACGGGAGGCAGCAGUAGGGAAUAUUGGUUAAUGGGCGAAAGCCUGACCCAGCAACGCCGCGUGCGCGAUGAAGGCCUUCGGGCUGUAAAGCGCUUUUAAGUGGGAUGAGGAAGGACAGUACCACUAGAAUAAGUCUCGGCUAACUACGUGCCAGCAGCCGCGGUAACACGUAGGAGACGAGCGUUAUCCGGAUUUACUGGGUGUAAAGCGCGUGCAGGCGGUUUGGAAAGUUGGAUGUGAAAGCUCCUGGCUUAACUGGGAGAGGUCGUUCAAAACUACCAGACUAGAGUACAGCAGAGGGGAGUGGAAUUCCGAGUGUAGCGGUAAAAUGCAUAGAUAUUCGGAAGAACACCAGUGGCGAAGGCGGCUCCCUGGGCUGAAACUGACGCUCAGACGCGAAAGCUAGGGUAGCGAACGGGAUUAGAGACCCCGGUAGUCCUAGCCGUAAACGAUGUGGACUUGGCGUAGGCGGGUUGAAAUCCAUCUGUGCCGAAGCAAACGCGAUAAGUCCACCACCUGGGGACUACGGCCGCAAGGCUAAAACUCAAAGGAAUUGACGGGGGCCCGCACAAGCAGCGGAGCGUGUGGUUUAAUUCGAUGUUACACGAAGAACCUUACCAGGGUUUGACAUGCAAGUGGUAGAGAAGCGAAAGCGGAACGACCCUUCGGGGAGCUAUGAGAAGGGCGAAUUCCCCCCCCUGGGGGGGCUUCCUAGUGGAUCCA
rnacentral:rRNA from 1 species